GUACUUCUAAAAGGCCUGAGUCUCAUCAAGUCUUGGUGAGGCAGGCCAGGAUGGAAACCAGCAAAUGCAGGCCGUGAGCACCUCAGCAGCAGCAUGGACUCCGAAGGGUCACUCCUGGAGAAAUGGAUCUCUGUGAGGCUCUUGCUGUGGGAAAGAGCAGCCUGGAGAACAGUUGAAGCUUUUAAACUUGUAGAUUUCCCCAAUAGCCAUUUUAGACAUG